rnacentral:lncRNA from 1 species
UUAUAACUACUACUAUUAAAAUAUAGAUAUAUUUAUCUUUAUUUUCACUUUACUUUAUUAUAUUUUGGUAUUAAUAAUGAUAUGAGUUGAGUUUAAAGAACGGAGUAAGAAUAUAUGACGUGAAUCGCAACUUAUUUAAGACUAAGCCGUAGUUAUUGUUAUCGUAAAAUCGUUGUCACUUCCUUAGUUCUUGACUAAGUA